rnacentral:rRNA from 1 species
AGCGCAUUUUAGGUGAAAUCGAGUAGGGCGGGACACGUGAUAUCCUGUCUGAAUAUGGGGGGACCAUCCUCCAAGGCUAAAUACUACUGACUGACCGAUAGUGAACCAGUACCGUGAGGGAAAGGCGAAAAGAACCCCUGUGAGGGGAGUGAAAUAGAACCUGAAACCGUGUACGUACAAGCAGUAGGAGCACCUUCGUGGUGUGACUGCGUACCUUUUGUAUAAUGGGUCAGCGACUUAUAUUCAGUAGCAAGGUUAACCAUCUAGGGGAGCCGUAGAGAAAUCGAGUCUUAACUGGGCGUCGAGUUGCUGGAUAUAGACCCGAAACCAGGUGAUCUAGCCAUGGGCAGGUUGAAGGUUGAGUAACAUCAACUGGAGGACCGAACCGACUAAUGUUGAAAAAUUAGCGGAUGACUUGUGGCUAGGGGUGAAAGGCCAAUCAAACCUGGAGAUAGCUGGUUCUCCCCGAAAUCUAUUUAGGUAGAGCCUCGGACGAAUACUACUGGGGGUAGAGCACUGUUAAGGCUAGGGGGUCAUCCCGACUUACCAAACCUUUGCAAACUCCGAAUACCAGUAAGUACUAUCCGGGAGACACACGGCGGGUGCUAACGUCCGUCGUGGAGAGGGAAACAACCCAGACCGCCAGCUAAGGUCCCAAAUUACAGCUAAGUGGGAAACGAUGUGGGAAGGCUUAGACAGCUAGGAUGUUGGCUUAGAAGCAGCCAUCAUUUAAAGAAAGCGUAAUAGCUCACUAGUCGAGUCGGCCUGCGCGGAAGAUGUAACGGGGCUAAGCUGUAAACCGAAGCUGCGGCAAUGCAUUUUAUGUAUUGGGUAGGGGAGCGUUCUGUAAGCCGUUGAAGGUGAGUUGUAAAGCUUGCUGGAGGUAUCAGAAGUGCGAAUGCUGACAUGAGUAACGAUAAAGGGGGUGAAAAACCUCCUCGCCGGAAGACCAAGGGUUCCUGUCCAACGUUAAUCGGGGCAGGGUAAGUCGACCCCUAAGGCGAGGCCGAAAGGCGUAGUCGAUGGGAAACGGGUUAAUAUUCCCGUACUUCUUACAAUUGCGAUGGGGGGACGGAGAAGGCUAGGUGGGCCUGGCGACGGUUGUCCAGGUUCAAGUGCGUAGGCUUGAGAGUUAGGUAAAUCCGGCUCUCUUUAAGGCUGAGACACGACGUCGAGCUACUACGGUAGUGAAGUCAUUGAUGCCAUGCUUCCAGGAAAAGCCUCUAAGCUUCAGAUUGUAAGGAAUCGUACCCCAAACCGACACAGGUGGUCGGGUAGAGAAUACCAAGGCGCUUGAGAGAACUCGGGUGAAGGAACUAGGCAAAAUGGUACCGUAACUUCGGGAGAAGGUACGCUCCUGUCGGUGAAGUCCCUUGCGGAUGGAGCUAACGGGAGUCGCAGAUACCAGGUGGCUGCAACUGUUUAUUAAAAACACAGCACUGUGCAAAAUCGUAAGAUGACGUAUACGGUGUGACGCCUGCCCGGUGCCGGAAGGUUAAUUGAUGGGGUUAGACGUAAGUCGAAGCUCUUGAUCGAAGCCCCGGUAAACGGCGGCCGUAACUAUAACGGUCCUAAGGUAGCGAAAUUCCUUGUCGGGUAAGUUCCGACCUGCACGAAUGGCGUAAUGAUGGCCACGCUGUCUCCACCCGAGACUCAGUGAAAUUGAAAUCGCUGUGAAGAUGCAGUGUACCCGCGGCUAGACGGAAAGACCCCGUGAACCUUUACUACAGCUUGGCACUGAACAUUGACCCUACAUGUGUAGGAUAGGUGGGAGGCUUUGAAACCGGUACGCCAGUAUCGGUGGAGCCGUCCUUGAAAUACCACCCUUGUAGUGUUGAUGUUCUAACUUAGACCCGUUAUCCGGGUUGAGGACAGUGCCUGGUGGGUAGUUUGACUGGGGCGGUCUCCUCCCAAAGAGUAACGGAGGAGCACGAAGGUGGGCUAAUCACGGUUGGACAUCGUGAGGUUAGUGCAAUGGCAUAAGCCCGCUUGACUGCGAGAAUGACAAUUCGAGCAGGUGCGAAAGCAGGUCAUAGUGAUCCGGUGGUUCUGUAUGGAAGGGCCAUCGCUCAACGGAUAAAAGGUACUCCGGGGAUAACAGGCUGAUACCGCCCAAGAGUUCAUAUCGACGGCGGUGUUUGGCACCUCGAUGUCGGCUCAUCACAUCCUGGGGCUGAAGUCGGUCCCAAGGGUAUGGCUGUUCGCCAUUUAAAGUGGUACGCGAGCUGGGUUUAGAACGUCGUGAGACAGUUCGGUCCCUAUCUGCCGUGGGCGUUGGAAGAUUGAAGGGGGCUGCUCCUAGUACGAGAGGACCGGAGUGGACGAACCUCUGGUGUUCGGGUUGUCAUGCCAAUGGCAUUGCCCGGUAGCUAAGUUCGGAAUCGAUAACCGCUGAAAGCAUCUAAGCGGGAAGCGAGCCCUGAGAUGAGUCUUCCCUGACUCCUUGAGAGUCCUAAAGGGUUGU